GAAUGAGCUUCAGCAAGUCGAGGAGCCCACAGAGACGCGCGCUCCCUCCGCGUAUCAGGGAACAGGGCUGCAGAUGCCGCCAGAAGGAAAGAGUGCCAGGGCCCGCUCAUCCCCCACUGAUCUUACUGUGUCCCAGGGGCCCAGGGGCCGUUGGGUCUAAGCAUCUCUGACCCUAUGGUUCAGGGCUCCUCUGUUCCCAGGGUUCCCUUGUCCCUCCUUCAGUUAAUUCUCAGAUCCCCGAACUCUGCGGAAAACCUGACAGCCUGUGCCUUAGCGCCACUGCGUGGCGGUUCAUGGCGCUGAGGCAAUGGUCUGUGGCUGGCGUUCCCUCCGUCUAUGUCGCCCUCUGGCGUUUGCGCGACUGAGUAAUUCAAUGAAGGAAGCUAUGAGAAGAAUCAUAGGCAACAUCAGACAAUACGAUGUUGGCUUCCUUGUUUCUGGUCCUGUGGCGAGACAGUCUUGAGAGCAGGGAGAGUGAGGUGGAAGGAAGGUGCUUUGCCCACGGUGGACAGGAAGCAGGAAGAGAGAAAGAAGGGGCCAGGCAGAAAACAUACCCUUCAAGGGCAUGUUCCCCAUCACUGAAUUGCUCCAACUGCAUCCCACCUUCUGAAUCCCCACCAUCUCCCAGGAGCCCACAGAGCUAGGAAUGCACGCGCGCGCGGGUCAGUCCAGUCUGAAGUCAGAGGCCCCAGGAUCCCAUCAUCCUACCCUGGAGCCUCAUCUCUGGACACAGCUGCUUCAGCGGAGCAAGGCCAACAAUCUGGAUACAAGUUGUCGAGGCCAUGGCAAGACUCUCCUGUGAUGAUCCUGGUACAGAAGCUCGCUGAAAGAAUAUUAAAAGGAACCUGUCGUAUGGUUGGACUGGUGGUUGCAGUUAUAAUGGAAUCAUUGCAUUGACGGCUACAGCAGCAACCGCUGGAGGGAUUUCCACUUGACUGACAGACACAUCCAAGCAUCAGCAGCUGACUACAACCUUCUCCAGACUUCGAGCCCUGGACAUGCUGAAAGCUGAUGUGAACCAGUCCAGCCGAUGUGAAUGCUCCCUGUCUCUUCAGCUGGGUCAGCAAACCAGAUGCUUCUGAUGAACGCCCCAUUGCCUGAAUUCCCUGCUUGCCUUUGACUAGCCUUCCAGCCUUCCUGGGCCCUGACAACAACAUCCUAGUCUCAGUAGGAAGUAGUUACAGAGAGAGUGUCACUCCUUGUUCCCAACAGGCUAGAAAGUUAGAUCAAAAGGAAACUCCCUGGCACAGGCCACAAAAUAGCUACCUAUAGAGCCUAUUGGCAUAUCAGGAAAGGUGUCUGUUAAAACCAAGUAGGCCCAGAUCUAUCAACAGAAAGAUUCAUUAGCUGAAAUAGUUCUAUGGGUAA